rnacentral:rRNA from 1 species
ACUCCUACGGGAGGCAGCAGUGGGGAAUCUUAGACAAUGGGGGCAACCCUGAUCUAGCCAUGCCGCGUGAGUGAUGAAGGCCUUAGGGUCGUAAAGCUCUUUCGCCAGGGAUGAUAAUGACAGUACCUGGUAAAGAAACCCCGGCUAACUCCGUGCCAGCAGCCGCGGUAAUACGGAGGGUGCGAGCGUUAAUCGGAAUUACUGGGCGUAAAGCGUGCGUAGGCGGCUUGGUAAGCCGGUUGUGAAAGCCCCGGGCUCAACCUGGGAACGGCAUCCGGAACUGUCAGGCUAGAGUGCAGGAGAGGAAGGUAGAAUUCCCGGUGUAGCGGUGAAAUGCGUAGAGAUCGGGAGGAAUACCAGUGGCGAAGGCGGCCUUCUGGACUGACACUGACGCUGAGGUACGAAAGCGUGGGUAGCAAACAGGAUUAGAUACCCUGGUAGGCUCUGC